GUGAACUGCGGAGGAUCAUUAGUAUUCAAUAUACAAUUUAAAACCACUGUGUAUCAAUCCUGUUGCUUCCGUGAAGCGGUCGGUUCGUAGUGACUGACCAACCGUUGAAGGUUAAUAUAUCAACCUGAGCGGUCAGUAUUCACGGAAGGUUUAUGGCAAACUCUUUUGAAUUUGUUUAUUCUGUCUGAAGCUUGUAAAGUACAAACAUGAAAACUUUCAACAACGGAUCUCUUGGUUCUCGCAUCGAUGAAGAACGCAGCGAAAUGCGAUAAGUAGUGUGAAUUGCAGAAUUCAGUGAAUCAUCGAAUCUUUGAACGCACAUUGCGCCUCCUGGUAUUCCGGGAGGCAUGCCUGUUCGAGCGACUUUAGAACAACCUCAGACAAUUAUUGUUUGGUCGUGGGUGUGGAGGUGUGAAAUAACUGUUUUCCCUCCCUCCUGAAAUCAAAUGGCAAAUUGUUUGGUUUGUAUCAAAGCGUGAUAAGUUAAACCUUUCGCUUUGCAAACUGAUCAUUAUCGCCUUCAAUAUGAAUUCUUCCAGUCUUCGUCCUCGAAUCAGGUAGGGAUACCCGCUGAACUUAA
rnacentral:rRNA from 1 species